rnacentral:lncRNA from 1 species
CCUCUUCAGCGGCUGGGCUGCCCUUCACUUCCGCCGGGCGUUGCUGAGCGCGCUGCCCGCGAGAUGCGGGCCCCUGAGUCACUGUUGUAGGUCAAGAUGAACACUAAACCAACAGUCUGUCAGGCUGGGCUUUUGACAUGGUUUAUUUCCUCCUGAAACUCAUCUGUUGCUGUUUCUUCUGCCAUGUCUUCCUGCUAAGGGACAAAAGACAAGGAGGUAGAUGUUUGCAAAGAUGAAUCAAAAUAUGAAGAAAGUGUGUAUAAUUAUUCAGAUUCGGACAACUGCUUAGAGGCCAAGAGUCUUAUACAGGGAAAUGCUGACGUGACAGACUGAGAUGGCAAAGGGGAACGCUCGAUCCUUGUGAACAGUACCUGGUGCAGGUACUGCUGAGGACUUGGAGAGAAAGCCCCAUGCUGACGAACAUGGGGGCUUACAGAUCAGCACCUUGGAGGCCAAAAGAAAGGGAGGUGCUGCCAAGCCGCCCACAGCUCAGCCACAGCCGAACUCAGGCAUCAUCCUCACCCGCGGAGACCUGUGAAAGGGUCAGGGGUUGCUCUAGAGCUACCAUUUCUGCUAACAACUUGCAUCUACUCCUGAGAAGCCCAGCUCUACCACACUGGUGGAUCAGAUAUUCUAGCCUGUCCAAGACUGGAUGGGAUACACCAUUCUAAAUCUGUUGGUACUCAGGAAUCUUGGGAAACUGGUACCCCUGCCCAGAGCCCUCUCACCUCUAUGGGGAUAUACAGCAUGAAGCCUGGCUCUCCCGUGUGCGUCAUACUCAUCACCCGGAUCCCAUUUGCAUAGCCCACACUCAUCUCCUACAAAGAAAAGGAAAGCAGUCAGUACUCGUCCCUCCUGACAGUCAAGAGACUGAGUCCCGAGGGGAGCCUGUCAGUACCCACCCUAUGUUAACCCUGGAAGAGCUACAACCAAGGAAAGCAUCUCUCUUUACCAGCUCAUGCUAAAACAUUGAGUUAGCCAAGCAGCGUUAGGAACAAUGAAGACCAACCAAGUGUUUUCUCUGGAGGACUCUGUAAGACACAUAAAGGACAAUGCCUGCAGAAUACAAUUCAUGCACUCUGGGACCAAAAGCUCAGUUUCUAGUGUUACAGCUGCUCAGUCGCCUUGAAAGGGUCACUGAUAUAAUACUGCUCUAUGAAGGGAAGUGUAAGGCCAAGCAAGACAGCACUGAAACAAUUCCACAUGAAUUCUGACAAGGCAUUUGACAGUCAGGUUGGAUCAUUUGUAAAGUACAGAGAAGACUGUAGAGGGAUCUGUUCACCAACAUGGAAGUUUUCUGUUGUUUUCUCUGCUUGGGAGAGCAGGAAAUCAUUAAACAAUCUGCUCUAAAAAUCUCCACUUGGGUUUAAACUUCCAAGUUUCUCCAUGCAUGGUGCAUGUCCAAAGUGGCUGUGUGACUGCUUCCUGCAAAGCGCUCAGUUAUUCAGUGUAGUGUGUGCCAAGCAACUAGUUGUGUGUUGUCUAGGGUUCAGCUAUCAAUAUACUAUGAGAAUAAAAACAAAACAGCAAAUGCAAG